rnacentral:rRNA from 1 species
CCCUUAGAUGUUCUGGGCUGCACGCGCGCUACACUGAUGCGCUCAACGAGUUUACGACCUUGCCCGGAAGGGUUGGGUAAUCUUUUUAAAACGCAUCGUGAUGGGGAUAGAUUAUUGCAAUUAUUAAUCUUUAACGAGGAAUUCCUAGUAAGCGCGAGUCAUCAGCUCGUGCUGAUUACGUCCCUGCCCUUUGUACACACCGCCCGUCGCUCCUACCGAUUGGGUGAGCCGAUGAAACUCUCGGAUGUAGGCUAUUCAUAGCCCGCAGAAGAGAUUUGAAUCGUAGCGCUUAGAGGAAGGAGAAGUCGUAACA